GGAUCCCGUAUGAUCAUUGAAGUUAAGCAAUGUUGAGCUUGGUCAGUACCUAAAUAGGUGACUACUUGGGAAUACCAGGUGUUGUAAG